AUUGAACGCUGGCGGCAUGCUUUACACAUGCAAGUCGAACGGUAACAGGCCGCAAGGUGCUGACGAGUGACGAACGGGUGAGUAAUGCAUCGGAACGUGCCCAGUCGUGGGGGAUAACGCAGCGAAAGCUGCGCUAAUACCGCAUACGAUCUAUGGAGGAAAGCGGGGGGCCGGAAGGCCUCGUGCGGUUGGAGCGGGCGAUGUCAGAUUAGGGAGUUGGUGGGGUAAAGGCUCACCAAGACAACGAUCUGUAGCUGGUCUGAGAGGACGACCAGCCACACUGGGACUGAGACACGGCACAGACUCCUACGGGAGGCAGCAGUGGGGAAUUUUGGACAAUGGGCGCAAGCCUGAUCCAGCAAUGCCGCGUGCAGGAAGAAGGCCUUCGGGUUGUAAACUGCUUUUGUACGGAACGAAAAGGCUCUGGUUAAUACCUGGGGCUCAUGACGGUACCGUAAGAGUAAGCACCGGCUAACUACGUGCCAGCAGCCGCCGUAACAC
rnacentral:rRNA from 1 species